rnacentral:rRNA from 1 species
UACGUAGGGUGCAAGCGUUGUCCGGAUUUAUUGGGCGUAAAGAGCUCGUAGGCGGCUCGUCGCGUCAGCUGUGAAAACCCGCGGCUUAACCGUGGGCGUGCAGCUGAUACGGGCGGGCUAGAGUUCGGUAGGGGAGACUGGAAUUCCUGGUGUAGCGGUGAAAUGCGCAGAUAUCAGGAGGAACACCGGUGGCGAAGGCGGGUCUCUGGGCCGAUACUGACGCUGAGGAGCGAAAGCGUGGGGAGCGAACAGG